rnacentral:rRNA from 1 species
AGCGAACGCUGGCGGCAGGCUUAACACAUGCAAGUCGAGCGGGCACUUCGGUGUCAGCGGCAGACGGGUGAGUAACACGUGGGAACGUACCCUUUGGUUCGGAAUAACGCUGGGAAACUAGCGCUAAUACCGGGUACGCCCUUUUGGGGAAAGGCUUGCUGCCGAAGGAUCGGCCCGCGUCUGAUUAGCUAGUUGGUGGGGUAAUGGCCUACCAAGGCGACGAUCAGUAGCUGGUCUGAGAGGAUGAUCAGCCACACUGGGACUGAGACACGGCCCAGACUCCUACGGGAGGCAGCAGUGGGGAAUAUUGGACAAUGGGCGCAAGCCUGAUCCAGCCAUGCCGCGUGAGUGAUGAAGGCCUUAGGGUUGUAAAGCUCUUUUGUCCGGGACGAUAAUGACGGUACCGGAAGAAUAAGCCCCGGCUAACUUCGU